GGCGUCGUCCCCCCCCCCCCCGGUGCUGUGCUGUGCGUUGCGUUGGGGUCCGGUCCCCGCCGUGUCCCCGCGUCCCCUCCCCCCCGAGGAUGCUGCGGUUCCUCCGGCGGACGUUUGGGCGCCGGUCGAUGCAGCGGUUGGGGCGCGGGCCGGGCGGGGUGGUCGGGGUCCCCCCCUCCUCCUCCUCCUCGGCCUCGGGGGUCCCGGGGGUCCCCCCGUCGGCGGGGGUCCCGCUGAGCGUGGGCGCCGGGGGUCCGGCCGUGCACAUCCCCGCCGCCGGCCCGGCCCGCGCCCCGCUCUCCUGCCGCGUCUCGCUGCUCGACGGCUCCGACCUCAGCGUAGACCUGCCGAAAAAUGCCAAAGGUCAAGAUUUGUUUGAUCAGAUUGUAUAUCACCUGGACCUCGUGGAAACGGAUUACUUCGGCCUACAGUUUCUAGAUUCCUCCCAGGUCACACACUGGCUGGAUCAUUCAAAACCCAUUAGAAAGCAAAUGAAAAUUGGACCCGCUUAUGCUUUGCACUUUCGAAUUAAAUACUAUUCUUCAGAACCGAACAACCUUCACGAAGAGUUUACAAGGUACCUGUUCGUAUUACAACUCAGGCAUGACAUUCUUUCAGGAAAAUUGAAAUGUCCAUACGAGACCGCCGUGGAACUAGCCGCCCUCUGCCUCCAAGCGGAACUUGGAGAGUGUGAGCAGCCAGAACAUACUCCGGAGCUCGUGUCUGAAUUCAGGUUUAUCCCAAACCAGACGGAAGCAAUGGAGUUCGAUAUCUUCCAGAAGUGGAAAGACUGCAGGGGGAAGAGCCCUGCGCAAGCCGAACUGUCCUAUCUUAACAAAGCCAAAUGGUUGGAGAUGUAUGGCGUGGACAUGCACGUGGUGAAGGGAAGGGAUGGUUGUGAAUAUGCUCUUGGACUGACGCCGACGGGCAUAUUAAUCUUUGAAGGCGCUAACAAAAUAGGUUUAUUCUUUUGGCCCAAGAUCACAAAGAUGGAUUUUAAAAAGAGCAAAUUAACGCUCGUGGUCGUCGAAGACGACGAUCAGGGGAGAGAGCAGGAGCACACCUUUGUGUUCCGGUUAGACAGUGCCAAAACCUGCAAACACCUGUGGAAGUGUGCGGUCGAGCACCACGCGUUCUUCAGGCUGCGGACACCGGCAAAUAGCAAAUCCAGCCGCUCCGACUUCAUCAGGCUGGGAUCUCGCUUCAGAUUCAGCGGAAGAACAGAAUACCAAGCCACGCACGGGGCUCGGCUUCGGAGAACGAGCACCUUUGAGCGGCGGCCCAGCAAGCGAUAUCCAUCCCGGAGACAUUCGACUUUUAAAGCCAACAACCCAGUGAAAGCUGCUCAGCUGUGUUCAAAAAAUAAUCCUGAAUUCCAUAAUUACCAGCCGCCCUAUCACCCCGUCCACCCCGGUCAGCAGCACUGGCACCCCCACUCCCCGAACGUAAGAUUCCCUCUGGCUUCACAAGUGCUCAACAACACCGACCUGCGUUCGUUCCACAUUGAGGAAAAUGGAGGAGCUUCAUUUGGCACAAAAAUAUCAGGAAGACACCACCAUCACCACCACCAUCACCACCAUCACCACCACUCUAAUUAUGGGGCUCCCAAGCCACCCGAGAGCAAAGAGGCCCUGGCUCCUGGGAUUGCCAACGCCAAUAAGCUGAACCCGGGAGCUGUCGGGCUGUUCGACGAAGCAGCUGCCAUCCAUCUGAAGAAGAUGGAGUUGGAGACCGUGAAGCCCGCCGGCCCCUGGUCCUCUCUCCACAUCAACAUAAACAAGGGGGAAGACAAGAAAGUAUCAGAGAAGAGUCUCCAUUCUCCGCUGUUACUCUCCCCUGUGCCUGACCACAUGAAAUGUAACAUCCUGAAGGCUCAGAUCGAGGCGGGGUUUCGAGUGGGAGCCCAGGUUGGGAAGGAGGAGCCGACCUUUGUCAAUCCCAAUAAGACUUCAGGCCUUCAGGACCCUAAUGUAAGGAGUCCGAUCUCCACACCAGCCCCCGCGACACAGCCGGCUGCCGAAAAGCAGGAAAUCAAAGCUCCACGAGUGAGGAAGUUAACCAGACAAUACAGUUUUGAUGAAGAUGACCUUCCUCCAGCCUUGGCAGCCACGGUGACGGCUUCAGGGACGGCAACGAAAUCCACAUCCGUGUCGUCGGCGUCUCCUGUGUCUCAGAAGGCCAACACCCCUCAAACCUCCAUGGGACCCAGUCAGUUGUCCCCCUGUGCAAAGAAUCCCCCUGACGUUGGAGGAGUGUUUACUUUGGAACCAGGUGACUUGCUGAUGGAUUUCACUGAAGCCACCCCCAUGAUAAAGACAUUCCCCGCUGAUCCAUCUAAUCCUUUUUUCGAUCCUUUUACAACAGCACCACAGUUUUCUGCAGAUUUUAAAGAAAAUAAAAUACAGCCCUGCGCUGUGUUGCCUUCUCCAGUGACCCCGACGACCACAGUGAGGCCGUUGACAGAGACCGUCUCAACAGUGCAAACAAUGUAUACGACACAUAAGCCCAUUUCUCUGGUGGACAGCACAGAGACCGUCAGGCAUGAACUUGAGAGGGAAAAGAUGAUGAAGAGAAUGUUGAUGACAGAAUUAUGAACUUCUCCCUUUCAUCACAAGGAGGAUGGAGCAGAAUAUUCUGUCUGUUUACGGUCUUUAGCUUCAGUGUACCCAACAUAAUGCAUCAUGAAAAUGUGUUGUGUGCUUGGCUCUUCUGGAUUCACCACGAGAUCAAAACAAUAUUUCCAGAUUCGUCUGAGUGGUCCUUUAGCCUUCUGGGUAACCAUGGUAACUGAGACAUCACCUCAAUGAACCGCAACAAAAUGGAAGGUGAAUCACACUAAUCCAAAGAAACCAAUCUUAUUACGGUAACCGAGUCAGAUAACAAUAAUCGUGCAGAUUGUCUGAAUGCAACUGUCUAGCUGAUCUCAUAUAUCGAAAGGCAACAGAAUCCUUCAGCAUCUCUACUUUGGAUACUUGCUUAGAACCCACCGGAGGCAAAAAUAAAUCUUUCCAAGGCGAGGAGAGAGUAAGUGGAUAUUACAGCUUUUCUUCCAGACCCUUCUAGAUGUAAUCUCAUCCUCAAUGAAUUUGGAAAACUCAGAUUCAGAGCCUGGCAAAUAGCUCCAAUAACUCCACUGCACAAAAAUCAAAUUCAUUUGGAGGAUUUGGGGGUCACCGGGUAUGACGUGGGCAGACUAAUGUUGGAGGAAAAGCCAGAUGCUCUUUCUGGUUGGUUUAUUUUGCUGUUCCAUUUGGUUUUUCCUGAUAUUCACCAAGAGCAGUUCUCUCUAGCACUCCAUAUGGUCAGCAGAAUCCCGCAUCUGUCUUAGCAAAUUUGCAGCUUUCAAAAUGAACCUAACGUUUGUACAAACAUGGAGCAGCGGCUUGCAGGAAACUCUUUUCUGGAGAGAUUUGUCUGCUUCUGCCCAUCUUUGCCACUAUCUCUCUGAAAUGAUUAAAGGCAUUUUCGAUUCAGAAUUUACACCAAAUCAGGUCUGGAGAGGUGGAGGCCCCCGGGGAAAAGAGAGGGGUUGGGUGAGCCACUAGGAGAGAAGCAGCGUGGUCUAGUGGAUAGAUCAUGGAACUGGGAG